CUGCGGAGGGAUCAUUGAAACCGAUCAAUCCAACCACAGAGCACCUGUGGGUCCGCCCCCAGCCCGGUGCCGUCCCCUCUCGGGGGCGCCCGGGGGGUUUCGGGGCGGGCCCGCCGUAUUCUAAGGGUCCGCCGGUCGCCCCCUCGGGGGAGGCCGGUCCCGGAUCCCCAACCCAUCUGAACCCUUCUGCCCUGAAGCAGCUUCGCAAGGGGACACCCCGAGCGACAGUAACAGAGACAACUCUCAACAACGGAUAUCUUGGCUCUCGCAACGAUGAAGAACGCAGCGAAAUGCGAUACGUAGUGUGAAUUGCAGAAUUCCGUGAGUCAUCGAAUCUUUGAACGCACAUUGCCGGUCGACUCUUCGGAGGAGACCACAUCUGCCUCAGCGUCGGGAUACCCCCUCACGCACAACCGCGCGUGGAUCUGGCCCCCCCGGCCCCCCUCGCAGGGGACCGGGCCGGCUGAAAUGCAGAGGCCCGUGCGCGGCCCACUUGUGGCCCCGACUAGGUAGGUAGCUCGCUACUGCUAGGCGGCGGCUCGGUGCCGCGGACUUUGGGCCGCAAAGGAUACUCCCAUUCAUUCGACCUGAGUUCAGGUGAGGCUACCCGCUGAACUUA
rnacentral:rRNA from 1 species